AUUGAACGCUGGCGGCGUGCUUAACACAUGCAAGUCGAGCGGUAAGGCCCUUUCGGGGGUACACGAGCGGCGAACGGGUGAGUAACACGUGGGUGACCUGCCCUCAGCUCUGGGAUAAGCCUGGGAAACCGGGUCUAAUACCGGAUAUGACUCCAUGACGCAUGUUGUGGGGUGGAAAGCCUUGUGCGGCUGAGGAUGGGCCCGCGGCCUAUCAGCUUGUUGGUGGGGGAUGGCCUACCAAGGCGACGACGGGUAGCCGGCCUGAGAGGGCGACCGGCCACACUGGGACUGAGACACGGCCCAGACUCCUACGGGAGGCAGCAGUGGGGAAUCUUGCGCAAUGGGCGAAAGCCUGACGCAGCGACGCCGCGUGAGGGAUGACGGCCU
rnacentral:rRNA from 1 species